rnacentral:rRNA from 1 species
UACGUAGGGGGCAAGCGUUGUCCGGAUUUAUUGGGUUUAAAGGGUGCGUAGGCGGUCUUUUAAGUCAGUGCUGAAAUACUCCAGCUUAACUGGAGGGGUGGCAUUGAUACUGGGAGACUUGAGUAUAGUUGAGGUAGGCGGAAUUGACGGUGUAGCGGUGAAAUGCUUAGAUAUCGUCAAGAACACCGAUAGGGAAGACAGCUUACUAAACUAUAACUGACGCUGAGGCACGAAAGUGUGGGGAUCAAACAGG